rnacentral:rRNA from 1 species
UACGUAGGGUGCAAGCGUUAAUCGGAAUUACUGGGCGUAAAGCGUGCGCAGGCGGUUUUGUAAGUCUGUCGUGAAAUCCCCGGGCUCAACCUGGGAAUUGCGAUGGAGACUGCAAGGCUAGAAUCUGGCAGAGGGGGGUAGAAUUCCACGUGUAGCAGUGAAAUGCGUAGAGAUGUGGAGGAACACCGAUGGCGAAGGCAGCCCCCCUGGGUCAAGAUUGACGCUCAUGCACGAAAGCGUGGGGAGCAAACAGG